rnacentral:rRNA from 1 species
UGGCGACGGGUGAGUAACGCGUGAGGAACCUGCCUUUCAGAGGGGGACAACAGUUGGAAACGACUGCUAAUACCGCAUAACGUACGGGUAUCGCAUGGUACUGGUACCAAAGAUUUAUCGCUGAGAGAUGGCCUCGCGUCUGAUUAGCUAGUUGGUAGGGUAACGGCCUACCAAGGCGACGAUCAGUAGCCGGACUGAGAGGUUGGCCGGCCACAUUGGGACUGAGAUACGGCCCAGACUCCUACGGAAGGCAGCAG